rnacentral:rRNA from 1 species
ACUCAAAGGAAUAGACGGGGACCCGCACAAGCGGAGGAUGAUGUGGUUUAAUAUGACGCUACGCGUAGAACCUUACCCAGGCUUGACAUCCUUGGAACCCACUGGAAACAGAGGGGUGCCGCAAGGAGCCAAGUGACAGGUGCUGCAUGGCCGUCGUCAGCUCGUGUUGUGAAAUGUUGGGUUAAGUCCCGCAACGAGCGCAACCCUUAUCGUAUGUUGUAUUUUUCAUGCGAGACUGCCCGGGCCAACCGGGAGGAAGGUGGGGAUGAAGUCAGGUCGGCAUGGCCCUUACGCCUGGGGCCACACACGUCAUACAAUGGCCGGUACAACGCGUUGCCAACCCGCGAGGGGGAGCUAAUCGCACCAAAACCGGUCUCAGUUCGGAUUGCAGGCUGCAACUCGCCUGCAUGAAGUCGGAUUCGCUAGUAAACGCAGGUCAGCACACUGCGUUGAAUACGUUCCCGGGUCUUGUACACACCGCCCGU